rnacentral:rRNA from 1 species
CGACGAGGUUGAUAGGCUAAACCUCUUCCCAUUCCGAACUCGGAAGUUAAGCCCUCCAGUGCCGAUGGUACUGCGGGGGAACCCCGUGGGAGAGUAGGUCGUUGC